rnacentral:rRNA from 1 species
CCUACGGGAGGCAGCAGUGAGGAAUCUUGGUCAAUGGGCGCGAGCCUGAACCAGCCAAGUCGCGUGAAGGAUGACUGCCCUACGGGUUGUAAACUUCUUUUAUCAGGGACUAAAGUGAAGCACGUGUGCCUUUUUGUAUGUACUUUCUUAUUAAGGAUCGUCUAACUCCGUACCAGCAGCCGCGGUAAUACGGAGGAUGCGAGCGUUCUCCGGCUGUAUUGGGUUUAAAGGGAGCGUAGAUGGGUUGUUAAGUCAGUUGUGAAAGUUUGCGGCUCAACCGUAAAAGUGCAAUUGAUACUGGCAGUCUUGAGUGCAGGUGAGGAAGGCGGAAUUCGUGGUGUAGCGGUGAAAUGCGUAGAUAUCACGAGGAACACCGAUUGCGAAGGCAGCUUACUAAACUGCCACUGACAUUGAGGCUCGAAAGUGUGGGUAGCAAACAGGAUUAGAUACCCCUGUAGUC